AUUCAAGUUAAAAGGAAUUACCUAACCCAGGGAAUAGAUACUUUAAUCAUAGUAAAAUAGAAGUAGAAGGAAUUAACCAUCUGGGAGCUAAACAAUUCAUAUUACUACAAUGUCAACUGAUAGAAUUAACCUUCUGGUGUUAGAGACAAUCUAUUACUAAAAUACAAAAGAGAAAAAGAAUUAAUCCACUCAGAGGCAUUCAAUUUUCAAAGUGCUAAAUGCCUUUAAACCUUGAGGAGCUUUCCUAUUUGUAACAUAGAUGUUACUUCUUUAACAUUGUAUGUCUCUGUAAACUGUAACCUUGCUAGUUAAUGUUCUGUCU